rnacentral:tRNA from 2 species
UGCCCGGUCGUCUAAUGGUAGGACAACGGGUUUUGGUCCCGUCUAUUAGGGUUCAACUCCUUACCGGGCAA